GACGAACGCUGGCGGCGUGCUUAACACAUGCAAGUCGAACGGAAAGGCCCUGCUUUUGUGGGGUGCUCGAGUGGCGAACGGGUGAGUAACACGUGAGUAACCUGCCCUUGACUUUGGGAUAACUUUAGGAAACUGGGGCUAAUACCGGAUAGGAGCUCCUGCAGCACGGGGGGGGUUGGAAAGUUUCGGCGGUUGGGGCUGGAUUCGCGGCUUAUCCGCUUGUUGGUGGGGUAGUGGCUUACCAAGGCUUUGACGGGUAGCCGGCCUGAGAGGGUGACCGGCCACAUUGGGACUGAGAGACGGCCCAGACUCCUACGGGAGGCAGCAGUGGGGAAUAUUGCACAGUGGGCGGAAGCCUGAUGCAGCAACGCCGCGUGCGGGAUGACGGCCUUCGGGUGGUAAACCGCUUUCGCCUGUGACGAAGCGUGAGUGACGGUAAUGGGUAAAGAAGCACCGGCUAACUACGUG
rnacentral:rRNA from 1 species